AGUAACACGUAAACAACCUGCCUUCAGGAUGGGGACAACAGACGGAAACGACUGCUAAUACCGAAUAAGUUCCAAGAGCCGCAUGGCCCAUGGAAGAAAAGGUGGCCUCUACUUGUAAGCUAUCGCCUGAAGAGGGGUUUGCGUCUGAUUAGCUGGUUGGAGGGGUAACGGCCCACCAAGGCGACGAUCAGUAGCCGGUCUGAGAGGAUGAACGGCCACACUGGAACUGAGACACGGCCCAAACUCCUACGGGAGGCAGCAUG
rnacentral:rRNA from 1 species